GAUGAACGCUAGCGGCAGGCCUAACACAUGCAAGUCGAGGGGUAGAAUUAGCUUGCUAAUUUGAGACCGGCGCACGGGUGCGUAACGCGUAUGCAAUCUACCUUGUACAGGGGGAUAGCCCAGAGAAAUUUGGAUUAAUACUCCAUGGUAUAAUUGAAUCGCAUGGUUUGAUUAUUAAAGUUCCAACGGUACAAGAUGAGCAUGCGUCCCAUUAGCUAGUUGGUGUGGUAACGGCAUACCAAGGCGACGAUGGGUAGGGGUCCUGAGAGGGAGAUCCCCCACACUGGUACUGAGACACGGACCAGACUCCUACGGGAGGCAGCAGUGAGGAAUAUUGGUCAAUGGGCGCAAGCCUGAACCAGCCAUGCCGCGUGCAGGAUGAAGCAUCUAUGGUGUGUAAACUGCUUUUGUACGGGAAGAAACAGCUCUUCGUGAAGAGCCUUGACGGUACCGUAAGAAUAAGGAUCGGCUAACUCCGUG
rnacentral:rRNA from 1 species